AUUUGAAUGAAAAUGUUUCAGUUCAGUACGUGCUCUCUUGACGUCGAAACGUGUGCGUGUGUGUCCGGUUGAGGAUCGAUUCGAUCGGUUGUAUUCAACUUCUGAAGUUCUGAGUAUUUCAAUGGGGUGACUUGUGAAAUUUAGUUUUACUCCUGAACCCGGGACAAAAAAGGUA